rnacentral:rRNA from 1 species
AUUGAACGCUGGCGGCAGGCCUAACACAUGCAAGUCGAACGAGUGGCGGACGGGUGAGUAAUGUCUGGGAAACUGCCCGAUGGAGGGGGAUAACCACUGGAAAAGGUAGCUAAUACCGCAUACCAUCGGAUGUGCCCAGAUGGGAUUAGCUAGUAGGUGGGGUAACGGCCCACCAAGGAGACGAUCCCUAGCUGGUGGGAGAGGAUGACCAGCCAAACGGGAACGGAGACACGGUCCAGACUCCGACGGGAGGCAGCAGUGGGGAAUAUUGGACAAUGGGCGAAAGCCUGAGGCAGCCAUGCCGCGUGUAUGAAGAAGGCCUUCGGGUUGUAAAGUACUUUCAGCAGGGAGGCGUUACUCGCAGAAGAAGCACCGGCUAACUCCGUGCCAGCAGCCGCGGUAAUAC